CCUACGGGCGGCAGCAGUGAGGAAUAUUGGUCAAUCGACGCAAGUCUGAACCAGCCAUGCCGCGUGCAGGAAGACGGCUCUAUGAGUUGUAAACUGCUUUUGUACGAGGGUAAACGCAGAUACGCGUAUCUGUCUGCAAGUAUCGUACGAAUAAGGAUCGGCUAACUCCGUGCCAGCAGCCGCGGUAAUACGGAGGAUUCAAGCGUUAUCCGGAUUUAUUGGGUUUAAAGGGUGCGUAGGCGGUCGGAUAAGUUAGAGGUGAAAUCCCGAGGCUCAACUUCGGAAUUGCCUCUGAUACUGGUCGGCUAGAGAGUAGUUGCGGUAGGCGGAAUGUAUGGUGUAGCGGUGAAAUGCUUAGAGAUCAUACAGAACACCGAUUGCGAAGGCAGCUUACCAAGCUACGUCUGACGUUGAGGCACGAAAGCGUGGGGAGCAAACAGGAUUAGAUACCCCGGUAGUC
rnacentral:rRNA from 1 species